GACGAACGCUGGCGGCGUGCCUAAUACAUGCAAGUCGAACGCCGUGGGGACGGGUGAGUAACCCGUGGGUAACCUCCCAUCAGAGGGGAUAACACUUGGAAACAGGUGCUAAACCGAUAUUGAUUGCUGGACCCGCGGUGCAUUAGCUAGUUGGUGAGGUAACGGCUCACCAAGGCCACGAUGCAUAGCCGACCUGAGAGGACGACCAGCCACAGUGGGACGGAGACACGGCCCAGACUCCUACGGGAGGCAGCAGUGGGGAAUUUUGGACAAGGGGCGCAAGCCUGAUGCAGCCAUGCCGCGUGAGUGAAGAAGGUCUUCGGAUUGUAAAGCACUGUAAGUUGGGAGGCGUUACCAACAGAAUAAGCACCGGCUAACUUCGUGCCAGCAGCCGCGGUAAUAC
rnacentral:rRNA from 1 species